UUGUUGUUGUUUGCCCGUGCUGAGCAGCGGGAGCAGUGAGGGGAGAAGCCGUUAGCUGAAUCCAGAUCAGGGAAUCCCAAACAGCGUUUCUUAGUCUGUUCAUCAGAGAUGGAGCGACACCGGGAACACACGGAGGAGACCAAGCUGCGGGGAGAAGGGCCUUCCUAUAGGUUUUGAGACUUUCUUGCCAUUCCAAACGGGAUUCUUCCACUUUGGUGGAGCGCCACUUACUUUCGAGGUUUCGUGAGAUUUCGUGAGAAGAGACAUUCCACGGAGCAAACCCAACACAAGCUUUACCUCCAGAUGUUCUUAAAGUGGUUGUUGGUGAAGAGGAGCAGCAGGAGUGUAGCUCCAAUGUGGACCAGCAUGAGCCAGAGCCCCCCCCACACAUUAAAG